rnacentral:rRNA from 1 species
GAUAGAGGGGGCAAGCGUUGCUCGGAAUUACUGGGCGUAAAGGGCGCGUAGGCGGGAUGGCAAGUCGGUCGUGAAAUCCCUCGGCUCAACUGAGGAGCGUCGAUCGAAACUGCCGUUCUUGAGGGUUGCAGAGGAGACUGGAAUUCCCGGUGUAGCGGUGAAAUGUGUAGAGAUCGGGAGGAACACCGGUGGCGAAGGCGGGUCUCUGGGCAACUCCUGACGCUGAGGCGCGAAAGCGUGGGGAGCGAACAGG